GACAGAGGAGGCAAGCGUUGUCCGGAUUAACUGGGCGUAAAGCGUCCGCAGGUGGCACGGUCAGUGGGGUGUGAAAGCCGGUGGCUUAACCGCCGGAGGCCAUCCCAAACUGCCGCGCUGGAGUCGGGCAGAGGGUGCCGGAAUUGCCGGUGUAGUGGUGAAAUGCGUAGAGAUCCGGAGGAACACCGACGGCGUAAGCAGCGCCCUGGACGAGACCUGACGCUCGGGCACGAAAGCUGGGGGAGCAAACAGG
rnacentral:rRNA from 1 species